GAUAGUAGAGGAUAGGAAAGGCAGCAGAAUACAACAGACACUAGUAUGGCAAUAUGUAAAUCAAUGGAUGUGUAACUGAUGUGAUUCUGCAAUCUGUAUACGGGGUAAAAACGGGAGUUCAUAACCCACUUGAAUCAAAGUGUGAAAUAUGAUAUAUCAAGAACUAUGUAAUGUUUUGAACAACCAAUAAUAAAAAUUAAAAAAAGAAACACUUCUCAAAUAUAUGAAAAAAGUCCAAAUCAUUAGCAAUUAGGGAAAUGAAAAUCAAAACUACAGAGAUUUCAUCUCACACUAGUUAGGAUGGCUUUCAUCAAGAGUACAAAUAAUAAUAAAUGCUGGAGAGCAUGUGGAGAAAAAGGAACACUUUUACACUGUUGGUGAGACUGUAAAUUAGUACAACCUCUAUAGAAAUCAGUAUGGAGUUUCCUCAAAAGACUAGGCAUGAAACAUGUGAACCAGCUAUACCACUCCUUGACAUUUAUCCUAAAGAAUUAAAGUUAUCAUACUACAGUGACACAUGUAUACCUAUUUACAGCAGCACAGUUCACAAUAUCCAAACUAUUAAGCCAGUCCAAGGUGCCCUUUAAUGGACGGAUGAAUAGAGAAAAUGUGGUAUACAUAUAUAUGGAGUUUUAUUUAAUCAUAAAGAAAAGUAAAAUGAUGUUAUUUUCAGAAAAACAGAUGGAAAUAGAGACCAUUAUGUGAAGCAGAAAAAGUCAAACUCAGAAGGUCAAGGGACAUGUUUUCUCUCAUUUGCAGAAGCUAGAGAGGAAAAAGAAAAAGAAAGGUAGGGGUGAAUCUCAUGGAAAUCAAGGAGAGAUCAGUAGAAUAAAGGGAGCAAGGGGUGGGAAAUAGAAUAUGGGAAAGAUUGGGGGGGGGGUGAUAUUUACCAAAUUAUAUUGUUACAUGUGUACAUCUAUGAAUAUAUAACAAGACCCAUCAUCAUGUACAACUAUAAUGAACCAAUUUCAAAAAAAGUGGAAAAAAAGACCCAACUAUAUGCUGUCUAUGAGAAACUCAGUUUAUUGACAGAGAAAAAUAUUAAAAGCAUUGACUAAAAGUGAAGUGUUAGAAAAUGAUAUCACACAGAUGUAAAUCAAAAGCCAGGGGAGAAGGUAUGCUCAUAUCAGAUAAAGCAGACAUUAAAUUUAAAAAUUAUAAUAAGGCAUGCACUAGGUCAUUACACAUUAACAAAAAUAUCAAUUUAUCAGGAAGAUAUAAGGAUUAUAAACAUUUAUGAACCCAACAUAGGGCCACCCAAAUAUUCAAAACAAAUAUUAGAUCUAAAGACCAAUAGAAAUUAAAAGGAAAAUUAAAAUUUUCUAGAAACAAAUAAAAAUGAUAAUUUGACAUACCCAAAUUUGAAAUAAAGCCAAAGCAGUACUGAGGGAGAAGUUCAUAGCAAUAAUACAUACAUAAAAAUAGAUCUCAAACAACCUGUUGCUGUACCACAAAAACUUAGAAAAACAAGAACAAAUCAAAC
rnacentral:lncRNA from 1 species